UUCUUACUUCUAUUCUUGAAAAAAAAUAUCCUUCUUUUCAUAAGCGUAAGAACAAAAUAAGCAGAGAGAAACAUAGGGUCAGAGGAAAAAUCAAUAAACAGGUUUAAGUGAUAUUCAAAAUUGGAUUUUUCGCCCUUUCCUCUAGCAGCUUACUUCUUAUUUUAUUUUUGCAGGUUAGGACCUGGAUUGGAUAGACUCAGGGAAACCACCGCUAGUUUGAAUCGUCAAGAGCUGGAAAUGAAGAGGAAGAGGAGAACUCCAAGUGAUUGAAACAUUAUAAAAGUGUGCUUAUUGUUUAGGAUGCAGGUUUGUGGUCAUCAGUCAUCAUGAAGAUGUCUUCGUAUAAUAAUUUUAUGUAACCUUUCAUUUCA